UUCCUAUGGCAGCACAUAUUCUAAGGCUGGAAUGAUACAAAGAUUAUCAUGGCCCCUGUGCAGGGAUGACGUGCACAUUUGUGAAGUGUUCCGGGAAUUU
rnacentral:snRNA from 1 species